CUCAAACCCACGAACUGUGAGAUCAUGACCUGAGCCGAAGUCAGACACUCAACCGUCUGAGCCACCCACGCACCCCUAAGUGUGAAAUUUCUUAAGCCAAGGAGUUUGUUUUGUUUUGUUUUGUUUUUAAUCAACCACAAUUAUUUCUCUGUUUACAAAUCUGGAAGAAAAAAUAGAUUCAACCUUUUGAAAAUGGUUGACAUUAGAAUGAAUGGAAUAGAAUUGAAGCAUUUGAUAUUGUAUAUGUUCUUACUCCGACAAUAUCAUGAUGGAUCAAAAUAAUUUUGGAUCUCCUUCAACAGUUUCCUUGAAGACUAUUAAGAUACAUAUUAUUUAAAUAAUAUGAUUUAUUCCCUGCCUCCAUGAGCUCCUGGAAGGUAAGGGCCAUGUUUAUUUUUUUAAUAGCACCAACACCUACUGCUCUACCAGAAACCCGGUUAAUUGGUAUUAAAGAGCAUUCUACAAGAAGUGUUUUCAAUGUGAAUAACCAUCACAAUCCAGAAGUCUCCAGUAUCUGUACCCUUUGAUUAGUACCUGAUUUUUAAAAUGUCUCCUUUACUAACCGUUAUAUGUUAUCUCAAGGUAAGUAGAAACUAGUCAUUUCCUCAAAAUCUUAAGAUCUGGCAAGUGUUUUUAAUGUCAGCCAGGUUUAUGUGCUAUUUUUCACCUUCCAAAGAAUAUGGUGGGAGGCAAUGAAAGAUAAUAGCUUGGUUUCACCUAGUCGAGACCAGUGGAUUGAUCUGGAACUUUCCUGUGUAUUGCCCAGAAUGGCCUUAACACCCUACAGUUAAUGGUCCCAGAACUUUCUACAGUAGUGUUUUUAUUUGGAUAGGUGUGCAGUUCUGGCUAAUUUAGAGGGCUCAGCUAGGAUUUCUCAACAGUGAAUCCAGUACUUACACACUGUGAAGCUUAAAAAGACACUUUGUAAAGAAAGUCACUUUAAGCCAGUGUGGAGCCCAUCUUGUGCAGCCAUGUAAAAUGUCCUGAGAUGUUGAGCAUUCAAUCUGGCUUGUAAGCAUAUGUCUUCUCAUCUGUAAAUUUUCAUUUUUGCAUCUUAGAGACUUGUAAGGGUUUGUCUUGAGACUUUCAGAAAUCCCCACCUUGUUCUGUAGUUUCAGCCUCCCCACCCUCUCCCAGAUCACAUUUCCACUGAAUCUUGUGUUCUCUGUAUUUCCAUACUAUGUCUUAACCACCCCUCUAACUUUGACAUGAGCGACUUUUCUGUUCACAGGAGGUUCACCCAGGAAACUGGGACUAUUCCUACAACAAAGUCCUACUCAUCUAGUGCUUUUUCUGUGGAGUGCACUGUAGAUUAGUUCCUUUUCCUCAUGUCAUGCAUCUGAGUUAUGGUUAUAUUCUAUUCUUAAGAUCCAACCUCUUUUCCUAAGAACUCUGACUUUCCAUAUAUGAUUCCCUUCCAUCAGAAACACUGCCCCUGGGUUCCCUUCCCCCCACCCUUUUGCCCCUUGUCUCACCCCCCAGAACUCCAUAUCUUAUUACAAGUUAUUGUGCUUGUAGGAAUAGAGAAUAUUACACCAUGCCGAGAUGUGGAGGCUGGGGAGUGGCUGAGCCUACUAGCUAAUGACCUGAACAUCGUGGCACUGGGCCUACAUUUGAACUUCAGUAAAAUGGCAAGACCUCACACAUUGGACCUUCAGAGUUAACUCAGGAGGCAACUUUGGAAGCCCACACUUCCCUCUUAGCUAAAGCACGGCACGGCCUGCUGUCUCAUUGCCCAGGAAGCGCAUAGCUAACCACUCUCAGCCACGAUUUGGUCCCAGCUCCUAGAGCUCUGGCUUGCUGAAAAAAUACAGCCCAACCAGAUGGGAACUCCUGCCUGGCACUAGGGCUUCUAAGCCAUCAGGCGUCAUGGCGGAUGUGAAGGGAACCAACUCAGAAGCCUCUCCGGGAAAUCCUUAGUGCCAAAGGUGUUAGAGCAGCUUCAUUUAAACAUGUGAAGGAUCCCCAGUCCCAUCCCUGUCUUCCACAAGGUUGCUUUGUGUCUUACUGAAGCCCCUGGCUGUGCUUUUCUGGAACAGUGACACAGCAGACAACUCCUUUACCUCAAGGUACUUCAGACUGAUGAUAUGGUUCACCUGCUUUAGAUCACAGAUCUGAGCUGUCCACUCAGGAAUCACGCACUGAGCUUAGAAUUCAGAAGCACAAAAUUAUAGACUAGUUCACUCAAGGGAAAAAAAUUCCAUCUUCCAUGGUUUUGGCCAGUGAGGUUACCGUGUGAUUCUUCUGUCAGGAAGGUGACUGGUAGACCUUAGAUUAGAAUCCAUACCUGUCAAGCAGGUUAUCCGUAUAGAAACAUCCUCUUAAUGUCACCAACUCACUUUGCCUCCCUUGCGUCAGAAGGUUGCUUCUACAAAUGUGUUUCACAAGGGAAUCGGGAAAGGGCUAAUCCCAGAAGUAUGCUUAAGUACGGUGACCUAGCAGCUUGGGUUUGGCCAGCUCUUUCUUCCUCUGACACAGUAUUCCUGACGUAUACCCUUUCCUUCCAGGUUCAUUACCUUCUUGAUAUGAUACCUACUUGUUUAGGCCAUGAAAUUUCACUGUGAAUAAGCAAAGAUUUGGCAGGAUGUUCACCACUAGAGCAAGCACCUGAAGGAAACCUUGGCCUCACCUCGGCAUAUGUGACUAUUGCUGUUUCACAGGAGAUCCAUUCUAGAAAUGCCUUUGCUCAUAGCUGAACUGAUUAACAAAACCUUGAAGAAAGCACAAAGUUUUAGUUCAAAAAAUAAUCCAGCUUCUCUGUCAUCAUCCCUUGCCUUCUUAGGCCUGUCCAAACUGUACUGGUAAGAACUUCACAUUCAAAAAAAGUUACGGUCAGUGAUUCUUCAUACAUAAAAUUCAAGUGAUUUCCUUGCGUGUUUUGUAUCACUUUUCUCCUCCUCUCAUGCAUAACUUAUUGCAAUGGUUUAU